CCAAACAAUGAUGUGGUAGUCUCCCAGCACAGAUCUUAUCAUUCUACGUGGAACAUAGCUUCUGAGUUUUUGCAGG